UACGUAGGGGGCAAGCGUUGUCCGGAUUUAUUGGGCGUAAAGGCGCGUAGGCGGCCAUGCGUGUCUUUCGUGAAAUCCCUCGGCUUAACUGAGGACGUGCGGAAGAAACUGCAAGGCUUGAGUCCGGGAGAGGGGGGUGGAAUUCCCAGUGUAGCGGUGAAAUGCGUAGAUAUUGGGAGGAACACCGGUGGCGAAGGCGGCCCCCUGGACCGGUACUGACGCUGAGGCGCGAAAGCGUGGGUAGCAAACGGG
rnacentral:rRNA from 1 species